GCUGGGCACAGUGGCGCAUGCCUGUAAUCCCAACUACUCGGGAGGCUAAGGCAGGAGGAUCGUGACUUCAAAGCCAGCCUCAG
rnacentral:sRNA from 1 species